AAGUCUCUAAGGACGAUUUCCUUCACCAUAAAACCCCUUGCUUCUCCGACUCACUUGUGAUUGUCAGUAGAGGACCUCAUGAAUAAUGCUCUUUCUAUUAAAAAAAAAAAGAAUUAAAAAAAACUUAAAACUGUUUAUAUGCACGCGCUGACAGCUAUUAGCAUCAACCCCUUUUGUCAGCUUCCAGGAAAUAAUACGGAGCUAUGUGGCAUUAUUCUUUAUCCAGACUGGGAUUCGUGCAUAGUCUAGUCCCUCCGUUUACCAGAAAGUACCAGAAACUGUGUGUAGGACUGAUAGACUUCAGUGUAUAUGACAAAUUACAGUCUGUCAGGACACAAGCAAAGGAUGGGAACAUCUCUCCUUGGAUUAUGAGAUCUGUGUGGGCAGGGUUGACAAAAAAAAAUUAAGCCGGGAAAAUUAAGCCGGGUGAACRAAAUCCAUUUAGGCACUUUAGUCUUACAGCACUUUUUCCGAGGAAAACAAAAGCAGACAAAGCUUUUCUACAUGCUCUUUAUGCAGCACAAGAUUGAGUAAGUUUCAGUUUGCCGAGUUCCCUGUCCUAGUUCCUAGUCACAAACCAUUUCAGAUGGUAUAAAGGUUUUGAGCUCCCCCUCUCUCUGUGAAUUUGAGCCUUAUGUCUUACCCCAGGAGACAGAAAGGGAUGUUGAGGUUGAACCAUAAGUUCAUGACUAGUCAGUACUUUUUGUUGGGGCAUCACAWGUUAGUGUACAUCAUGGACUGUGAUAUUAAAGGACACUCAAAUGAAUUAAUUUAGGCCUCAAUCCAGUUUAUACAUGUAGAUGUCUAUCUUAGCCUUUCCAGCAUUAUAAACUCCUAAAUCAUGAGGCUGUCCACCAAGAUCAUGAUACUAGCUUGGAAAUUAUGAAUCUGAAUCAUCCCUGCUGAGGAACCUGUGCCGGUUUCUGACUUUGUAUUUUUUUUAGGGAAUUCGCACUUCCCAGAUUGUGAGAAAGCGUGAGUAUGCAUACACAUAUGCUUAAGAGAAUAUACUUUUAAGUGUGCACAUGAC
rnacentral:lncRNA from 1 species